rnacentral:rRNA from 1 species
AUACCCUAUUAUUUUUAUUGUAAAUUUAAAUUAAACUAAAGUAUUAAUAGAUAAGAUCUUAAAACUUAAAGAAUUUGGCGGUAUUAUAGUCUAUUUAGAGGAAUCUGUUAUGUAAUCGAUAGUCCACGUUGAACCUUACUUAUAUAAUUUCUUGUAUAUCGCUGUUUAAGAAAAUAUUUUAAGAUAAUUAUCUGAAUAUUACAGUAAUUAAUAUUUCAAGUCAAGGUGCAGUAAUAUAUAAGUUGAAUAAUGGAUUACAAUAAAAUUUAUUUAAAACGGAUAAAUAAUUGAAAUGUUAUUUGAAGGUGGAUUUAAAAGUAAUUUUGUAAAGAUUAUAAAAAUGAUUUUUAGCUCUAUAAUAUGUACACAUCGCCC